AACUAGCCCCGAUAGAAACGGCAUCCUUUUUUGUUGCGGCCUUCGCUUCGCUCCGGCCGUGACAAAAAAGAUAGAGUACUUCGACAGGCUCAGCA
rnacentral:misc_RNA from 1 species